UAUUUAUAUGAUAAACGCUUCUGAUAAGACCCAACCCCCUGCUACCACCAUGACACACAGAAAGGGACAUAGAGGGUUGGCAAAAAGGAAGAAACGGGGAGCUACUGGUCUAGGACAGUCCAUUGAGGUUGGAGAUCGGAUAAGAGUAAGACAGAUAGUAAAGGAGAAAAAGAAUGGAGCAAUGAUGAAGGGUAGAAAGGAGCAAAUAAAAAGUCGUGAGUGGGUGUAUUAAAGGAGAAGAUGAGAGGGUAUGAAAGGCAACGAAGAAAAGUUUGGCUCUCUUCAUCAAGA